UACGAAGGGGGCUAGCGUUGCUCGGAAUUACUGGGCGUAAAGCGCACGUAGGCGGAUUGUUAAGUCGGGGGUGAAAUCCUGGAGCUCAACUCCAGAACUGCCUUCGAUACUGGCGAUCUCGAGUUCGGGAGAGGUGAGUGGAACUGCGAGUGUAGAGGUGAAAUUCGUAGAUAUUCGCAAAGAACACCAGUGGCGAAGGCGGCGACCUGGACGGACACUGACGCUGAGACGCGAAAGCGUGGGGAGCAAACAGG
rnacentral:rRNA from 1 species